rnacentral:rRNA from 1 species
CCUACGGGAGACAGCAGUGGGGAAUAUUGCACAAUGGGCGAAAGCCUGAUGCAGCAACGCCGCGUGAGCGAUGAAGGCCUUCGGGUCGUAAAGCUCUGUCCUCAAGGAAGAUAAUGACGGUACUUGAGGAGGAAGCCCCGGCUAACUACGUGCCAGCAGCCGCGGUAAUACGUAGGGGGCUAGCGUUAUCCGGAAUUACUGGGCGAAAAGGGUGCGUAGGUGGUUUCUAAAGUCAGAGGUGAAAGGCUACGGUUCAACCGUAGUAAGCCUUUGAAAGUGGGAAACUUGAGUGCAGGAGAGGUGAGUGGAAUUCCCGGUGUAGCGGUGAAAUGCGUAGAUAUUAGGAGGAACACCAGUGGCGAAGGCGGCUCUCUGGACUGUAAAUGACACUGAGGCACGAAAGCGUGGGGAGCAAACAGGAUUUGAUACCCUAGUAGUC